AUGAUUUUGAUUAGAAAUAUUUCCUUUUCUCUCUCUAAGGUAAUGAAGAUGAAAGAGAAGAAGAAAUUGAACAACAAUAUGUACGUGGUUCGACCUAAGAUGACUUACAUCCACAGAAAGAAAAAAUACACUUUAUUGAAGGCUUUUUCAAGAAGAUAAGUCUGCUUCUUCAUAUUUUCUUUUUACAGUAGAAGUUCUGUGUUUAAAAUUGUUUGUAGAACUAUUAAUAUGGAAAAAGAAAGAUUAUUACAAAUUUGUUAAAUAGAUUGUUGUAGUUUAAUGAACUAGCCAUUGAGAUCAUUGUUACUUCAAAUCUCUACCUUAAUCUUAACCUUGUAGCCUUCAUCCUUCCAGAUAUGAUUUUUUUCUAACCUUUUUCAGGUAACAGAAAACUGAUUUGCUCGAGACAUUUAGUAAGCUUGAGCUUCGUAAUGGGCUUGGUAAGCAUAUCAGCUACAUUUUUGGAGUGUCCUCUACAAGUUGGGAGCACCGAAUGUGGAUACUACGUCAUGAGGUAUAUGAGGGAUAUUGUGACCAAAAGAAGCAUUAUAAUCUCAGAUUUGGUAUGUUAUCGUUAAUUUGACAUUUUAGAUAGUGUAGGGAAGAGUAGAAUUCAUUAUAAUAUUUGGCUUUUAUGUUUAUAGAUUAUACAAGGAACCCAUACUCACUUUGAGUUGGUUGAAUUUUUGGGUUACUACAUGGGAUUGUAGGUGCUCAUAUAAUUUGGUCAUUUUGAAUGUAUUUG